AACGAACGCUGGCGGCAUGCCUAACACAUGCAAGUCGAACGAGACCUUCGGGUCUAGUGGCGCACGGGUGCGUAACGCGUGGGAACCUGCCCUUAGGUUCGGAAUAACUCCCCGAAAGGGGUGCUAAUACCGGAUAAUGUCUUCGGACCAAAGAUUUAUCGCCUUUGGAUGGGCCCGCGUUGGAUUAGCUAGUUGGUAGGGUAAAAGCCUACCAAGGCGACGAUCCAUAGCUGGUCAGAGAGGAUGAUCAGCAACACUGGGACUGAGACACGGCCCAGACUCCUACGGGAGGCAGCAGUGGGGAAUAUUGGACAAUGGGCGAAAGCCUGAUCCAGCAAUGCCGCGUGAGUGAUGAAGGCCUUAGGGUUGUAAAGCUCUUUUACCCGGGAUGAUAAUGACAGUACCGGGAGAAUAAGCUCCGGCUAACUCCGUG
rnacentral:rRNA from 1 species